rnacentral:ncRNA from 1 species
GGUAGGACCCUCUACUUACCUGGGCUGAUGGCUUCCGAGUGUGUAGACCAGGACACCAAUCGAGGGCUCGUGUUCUAUCACUCGUAGCAAAUGCAGCGGGCCUGGCUCUAACACCCGCGGGCUUACACGGGGAAGUUGGGUCCCUCUGCCCUGUCAUCCUCAGAGUGACAAUCUGUGCUUCUCCAUCAGAUUCCGCGGAAGGGCCCCCUAGGUCUUCUUGGCCUUGUCUUCCGGGGGGUGGGGCUUGCUACCGGCCCUUCGUGUCAGUAGUUGGGCCUCAGGUUUAGCCCUUAUCUCUGUGGAGUUUGUUCCCUGCCCAUGUAACAUCUCCGGGCGGGGAGCCGCUUGACCUCGUUUUGCCUGGUGGUUCCUCGGCACUCUUGGAGAAACAGGCGAAAGCCAAAUGCCUUGUCAUCUAAUUAGUGACGCACAUGAAUGGGCUAACGGGACUCCUACUGUCCCUAUCUUCCCUAUAUACUAUGUAGCGAAACCACAGCCAAGGGAACGGGCUUGGAACAAAGUGGUAACGGUCGGGUUAUUUAAAAAAAAUAUUGAAGGAGGACAUGAAGGAGAAAAGUAUUGUAGGUUUUUGACCUACAAUAUUUUCCUCCUUCAUGGCCACAUUUGAUUGCAUCCAUGUACACUGUAUUUCUAGACCUCUUACAGGGUUCACAUUCUUGUGUGUGUUAAACUGCAAAAAAAAAAAAAAGCUUUUUUUUUUAAAUUUCGUGCAAUUUUUUUUUGUUUUAAUUCUGAAAAACGUUUUAAUAUGAUUUAAAAUCGGUACAGGUAAAACGUAUAAUUAUGUUGUGAGAUCUUCACUUUAUGAAAACAGCUUUCUU